UGGCCCAUCUUGUCUUGUACUAUCUUUGGUAUUGCUGAUAUAUCCCAUCAUUAGUUUGGAGAAGAAUAGCAUUGUAUAAUUCGAUUUUUGUCUGUUUGCGAAUGCCACAGCAGUCCUGAACCUUUGCUCUGAGUCAUCUGAGGGGUGCAUAAUACAUGGAACAAGGUCAAAAGGGCCCAAAAUGGUGCAUCUUGCUCGUAACCCGAAAGAUAUGAUUGUCUCCUACUACUACCACUUGUCACAAGAGGGAAAAUUCACACUGUCUUACUUACUGGAACGUUACAUUGCCAAUGAUAUGAGGGAAACCCACCAAUUCGACUUUUUGCGUCAGAUGCAACAGCAUCAGCAAAACAACCCGGAGGUUCCUGUCAUGACGAUCUACUACGAGGACAUGAAGGAG